rnacentral:tRNA from 1 species
GGGUAUAGCUCAGUGGUAGAGUGCAUGCCUAGCAUGCUAUGAGGUCUUGGGUUCAAUCCCCAGUACCUCCA